rnacentral:rRNA from 1 species
UACGGAGGGAGCUAGCGUUGUUCGGAAUUACUGGGCGUAAAGCGCGCGUAGGCGGCUUUGUAAGUUAGAGGUGAAAGCCCGGAGCUCAACUCCGGAAUUGCCUUUAAGACUGCAUCGCUUGAAUCAUGGAGAGGUGAGUGGAAUUCCGAGUGUAGAGGUGAAAUUCGUAGAUAUUCGGAAGAACACCAGUGGCGAAGGCGACUCACUGGACAUGUAUUGACGCUGAGGUGCGAAAGCGUGGGGAGCAAACAGGGAUUAAGAAACC